CCUACGGGAGGCAGCAGUAGGGAAUAUUGCUCAAUGGGGGAAACCCUGAAGCAGCAACGCCGCGUGGAGGAUGAAGGUUUUCGGAUUGUAAACUCCUUUUGUUAGAGAAGAUAAUGACGGUAUCUAACGAAUAAGCACCGGCUAACUCCGUGCCAGCAGCCGCGGUAAUACGGAGGGUGCAAGCGUUACUCGGAAUCACUGGGCGUAAGGAGCGCGUAGGCGGGAUAGCAAGUCAGAUGUGAAAUCCUAUGGCUUAACCAUAGCACUGCAUUUGAAACUGGUAUUCUAGAGUAUGGGAGAGGUAGGUGGAAUGCUUGGUGUAGGGGUAAAAUCCGUAGAGAUCAAGAGGAAUACUCAUUGCGAAGGCGACCUGCUAGAACAUAACUGACGCUGAUGCGCGAAAGCGUGGGGAGCAAACAGGAUUAGAUACCCCUGUAGUC
rnacentral:rRNA from 1 species